rnacentral:tRNA from 1 species
GCCCUGGUGGCAUAGUGGUUAAGUGCUACGGCUGCUAACCAAGGAGUUGGCAGUUCAAAUCUGCCAGGGGCU